rnacentral:rRNA from 1 species
GACGAACGCUGGCGGCGUGCUUAACACAUGCAAGUCGAACGGAAAGGCCCUGCUUUUGUGGGGUGCUCGAGUGGCGAACGGGUGAGUAACACGUGAGUAACCUGCCCUUGACUUUGGGAUAACUUCAGGAAACUGGGGCUAAUACCGGAUAGGAGCUCCUGCUGCAUGGUGGGGGUUGGAAAGUUUCGGCGGUUGGGGAUGGACUCGCGGCUUAUCAGCUUGUUGGUGGGGUAGUGGCUUACCAAGGCUUUGACGGGUAGCCGGCCUGAGAGGGUGACCGGCCACAUUGGGACUGAGAUACGGCCCAGACUCCUACGGGAGGCAGCAGUGGGGAAUAUUGCACAAUGGGCGGAAGCCUGAUGCAGCAACGCCGCGUGCGGGAUGACGGCCUUCGGGUUGUAAACCGCUUUCGCCUGUGACGAAGCGUGAGUGACGGUAAUGGGUAAAGAAGCACCGGCUAACUACGUGCCAGCAGCCGCGGUGAUACGUAGGGUGCGAGCGUUGUCCGGAUUUAUUGGGCGUAAAGGGCUCGUAGGUGGUUGAUCGCGUCGGAAGUGUAAUCUUGGGGCUUAACCCUGAGCGUGCUUUCGAUACGGGUUGACUUGAGGAAGGUAGGGGAGAAUGGAAUUCCUGGUGGAGCGGUGGAAUGCGCAGAUAUCAGGAGGAACACCAGUGGCGAAGGCGGUUCUCUGGGCCUUUCCUGACGCUGAGGAGCGAAAGCGUGGGGAGCGAACAGGCUUAGAUACCCUGGUAGUCCACGCUGUAAACGGUGGGUACUAGGUGUGGGGUCCAUUCCACGGGUUCCGUGCCGUAGCUAACGCUUUAAGUACCCCGCCUGGGGAGUACGGCCGCAAGGCUAAAACUCAAAGGAAUUGACGGGGCCCCGCACAAGCGGCGGAGCAUGCGGAUUAAUUCGAUGCAACGCGUAGAACCUUACCUGGGUUUGACAUGGGUCGGGAGUGCUCAGAGAUGGGUGUGCCUCUUUUGGGGUCGGUUCACAGGUGGUGCAUGGCUGUCGUCAGCUCGUGUCGUGAGAUGUUGGGUUAAGUCCCGCAACGAGCGCAACCCUUGUUCACUGUUGCCAGCACGUUAUGGUGGGGACUCAGUGGAGACCGCCGGGGUCAACUCGGAGGAAGGUGGGGAUGACGUCAAGUCAUCAUGCCCCUUAUGUCCAGGGCUUCACGCAUGCUACAAUGGCUGGUACAGAGAGUGGCGAGCCUGUGAGGGUGAGCGAAUCUCGGAAAGCCGGUCUCAGUUCGGAUUGGGGUCUGCAACUCGACCUCAUGAAGUCGGAGUCGCUAGUAAUCGCAGAUCAGCAACGCUGCGGUGAAUACGUUCCCGGAGCU